UACGUAGGGUGCAAGCGUUGUCCGGAAUUAUUGGGCGUAAAGAGCUCGUAGGCGGUUUGUUGCGUCGGCUGUGAAAUCCCGAGGCUCAACCUCGGGUCUGCAGUCGAUACGAGCAAACUAGAGUGUUGCAGGGGAGACUGGAAUUCCUGGUGUAGCGGUGAAAUGCGCAGAUAUCGGGAGGAACACCAGUGGCGAAGGCGACUACCUGGCCUGUUCUUGACGCUGAGGCGCGAAAGCUAGGGGAGCAAACGGG
rnacentral:rRNA from 1 species